GACGAACGCUGGCGGCGUGCUUAACACAUGCAAGUCGAACGGAAAGGCCCUGCUUUUGUGGGGUGCUCGAGUGGCGAACGGGUGAGUAACACGUGAGUAACCUGCCCUUGACUUUGGGAUAACUUCAGGAAACUGGGGCUAAUACCGGAUAGGAGCUCCUGCUGCAUGGUGGGGGUUGGAUAGUUUCGGCGGUUGGGGAUGGACUCGCGGCUUAUCAGCUUGUUGGUGGGGUAGUGGCUUACCAAGGCUUUGACGGGUAGCCGGCCUGAGAGGGUGACCGGCCACAUUGGGACUGAGAUACGGCCCAGACUCCUACGGGAGGCAGCAGUGGGGAGUAUUGCACAAUGGGCGGAAGCCUGAUGCAGCAACGCCGCGUGCGGGAUGACGGCCUUCGGGUUGUAAACCGCUUUCGCCUGUGACGAAGCGUGAGUGACGGUAAUGGGUAAAGAAGCACCGGCUAACUACGUG
rnacentral:rRNA from 1 species